AACGAACGCUGGCGGCAUGCCUAACACAUGCAAGUCGAACGAGACCUUCGGGUCUAGUGGCGCACGGGUGCGUAACGCGUGGGAACCUGCCCUUAGGUUCGGAAUAACUCCCCGAAAGGGGUGCUAAUACCGGAUAAUUUCUUCGGACCAAAGAUUUAUCGCCUUUGGAUGGGCCCGCGUUUGAUUAGCUAGUUGGUAGGGUAAAAGCCUACCAAGGCGACAAUCCAUAGCUGGUCUGAGAGGAUGAUCAGCCACACUGUGACUGGGACACGGCCCAGACUCCUACGGGAGGCAGCAGUGGGGAAUAGUGGAAAAUGGGCGAAAGCCUGAUCCAGCAAUGCCGCGUGAGUGAUGAAGGCCUUAGGGUUGUAAAGAUAUUUUACACGGGAUGAUAAUGACAGUACCGGGAGAAUAAGCACCGGCUAACUCCGUG
rnacentral:rRNA from 1 species